GUACUUUUGUUGUGUGGUUGCGUUUGUUUGACUUGCGAGGCGCUAAUUUGGCAAUUCUCCCUCUGAAAUCUGAAUAGCAGUCUAGCAGUGAUGAUGUCAGGACUCCGGAGGUGCAAGCGGCAAGCGGCAAGCGGCACGCAACGAUGCAGAUGAACCUGGUGGGGGUGAGGUUGGGAGUUCUUCUCUGGGAGCUCUUCUAUAUAUCAUGUGGUGACUGCAGCAGCUUUAUUGACUUCAGAAGUGCGGCUGUGGUACCUGCUUGGAAGACCUGGCCCCAUCUUGGCCUAAUCUCUUGGCACUUCAUGGCGACUCACCUACAAGACCUCCCGAAUCACUAGCAUGAACCAUCGGCAGAACUCCACCUCGUCUGUUUCCUUUAUCAUUUCAGAAACCGCUAAAUUCACCGAGACCCCCCUUCCAUUCUCUGUAAAUUUCGAUUCGAAUUCAUAAUCAACAGGUUUUGACAAUACGACUGGGAAGUUACCACGAGGAGCUCCA